rnacentral:rRNA from 1 species
GUGGGGAAUCUUGCGCAAUGGGCGAAAGCCUGACGCAGCCAUGCCGCGUGAAUGAUGAAGGUCUUAGGAUUGUAAAAUUCUUUCACCGGGGACGAUAAUGACGGUACCCGGAGAAGAAGCUCCGGCUAACUUCGUGCCAGCAGCCGCGGUAAUACGAAGGGGGCUAGCGUUGCUCGGACUUACUGGGCGUAAAGGGCGCGUAGGCGGACAGCUUAGUCAGAGGUGAAAGCCCAGGGCUCAACCUUGGAAUUGCCUUUGAUACUGGCUGUCUUGAGUUUGGGAGAGGUGAGUGGAACUCCGAGUGUAGAGGUGAAAUUCGUAGAUAUUCGGAAGAACACCAGUGGCGAAGGCGACUCACUGGCCCAAUACUGACGCUGAGGCGCGAAAGCGUGGGGAGCAAACAGGAUUAGAAACCCCUGUAGUCC